rnacentral:lncRNA from 1 species
UUCCAAUCUCUAAACACCCCAGGGGUAUCUGCAGUCUCACUGUGGCAGAUAAUCACCCACCUGAUGCUGCCCGGCCUGAGCAGGGUACCGUGGCUGCAUCCUUCCACACGAGCCAGUGCCAAUCCAGCUGCUGACCACUUGUGCUGACAGCUAGAGAAGCAUGGAGGGGGAGAACCCCUAAGGGUUGGAGGAUCAGAACAUGUCGCGGCGAGAAGCGGAGAGAAGCAAGCUGCUGAGUACUCAGACUGAGUCCUGCAGCCUGCUCUCCCUCACCCUUCCCCAGCACCCAGCCGAUGGGAUUAGGAUCCUAGAGAAGCAGAGACCUGGGUGCUGCCUAGGAGGAACUAUCCAGGCAGGAUUCUUGACCUCUCAUGCCAGUGUGCCAGGCAGCACCACAGCAGAAACGGCUGCUUCCUGCAGCCCAGAGUGGUGGAGAAGAGGGCCGCAGAUGUUACUGUUCUCCCCUCUCAAACGUAGCUGACAGAGGGCCAGGAGACCCAAGGAGGCACGGUGCUUCAGACGACAGGUGCAUUAGCGAAUCCUACCACUGAUGGAUACCAGAAACACCUCACAAAAAGCAGCCGAGGAAAUGAAGAACCUCAGAGUUUGACUUGCUCAAUAUGAUUCGACUCAUGUUCAGGAGAGCCAGGACUCAAAAUUCUGCCUCCAACCCCUCUGCUUUUCCCACUGUAAUGCAUUUGUCCCUUCCUAAAACAGUCUCACGUGAUUUUAUGUUCAAGCAUCCACUGCUACCAGGGUGUUAAGAUGGAUCUUCAAAUGAUGUUUCUAAAGAACUGUGAACUUCCCAGGUGAAAAUUCUCAUUGAAAACAGCUGUAUUGUCAGCUCUCCAUUAUUGGUGACAGCAAGAAGCAGGGAUGGGGCAGCUGGAUGAGCUUUAGGAUUAAGCACCUUCCUUGAGUCUCUGCCUGCUCCUUCCAUCACUUCUCCCGCUGGAGCUGCCCACAGGGAGAACCAUCUCCUGAGAGGCUGAACUCCCGGGUCUUGAGCUGGGGCAAGCUGCUGUGAUCAGACAUCUCACUAAUGUGGCAUCAGAACGGCGCUCCAGAAGAACAAAGGAACACAGGGAACUUGAAGAGAGAGUGUGACCCAAACUGUAAAACUGAGGCACUGAGAGGUGAAGGAAAUUGCCUAACACCAGCCGGCCACAAUGAACAUGUGUAAUUUUACAACUCAGAAAAAAGAAAACCCACUGAUAUUGAGGAAAGAAGAGAUCUAUGCAAAUGGCUCUGGAAAGUCAUCUGUGCAUUGGGUUCGUCGUGAACGUGAUGCUGCAGACAGCAGCUCAGGCUAGACUGACGGGUGCAUGGGGGAGACUGAGGCGUUUGGGAGGGAAGUGACCUGGUGCUGCGAAUCCUGCCCUGGGGCUCGAGGAACUCCGCCUCCCCUAACCCUGAUCUAACUGGACGGACCCAAGCGAAACCAUGCUGACGGCACUCCCAGUUGCAGGUCUUCCAAAUAAAAUCUUUUCAGAUGAGCAGCAAACACUUUCAUAGUGUGAGUGUUCCCUAAAUGUUGCAGGGGAUAUACUAUACUAAGCAUGUAUUUGUUUUUUAUCUGAAAUUCAUAUUUAACGGAGCAUUGUGUAUUUUUAUUUGCUGAUCCCAGCGACCCUGCCUGGAGUGGAUGUGGUGGGGGCUCUGGGAUCCCCGG